GACGAACGCUGGCGGCGUGCCUAAUACAUGCAAGUAGAACGCACAGUUUAUACCGUAGCUUGCUACACCAUAGACUGUGAGUUGCGAACAGGUGAGUAACGCGUAGGUAACCUGCCUGGUAGCGGGGGAUAACUAUUGGAAACGAUAGCUAAUACCGCAUAAUAUUGAUUAUUGCAUGAUAAUUGAUUGAAAGAUGCUAUUGCAUCACUACCAGAUGGACCUGCGUUGUAUUAGCUAGUAGGUGAGGUAACGGCUCACCUAGGCGACGAUACAUAGCCGACCUGAGAGGGUGAUCGGCCACACUGGGACUGAGACACGGCCCAGACUCCUACGGGAGGCAGCAGUAGGGAAUCUUCGGCAAUGGACGAAAGUCUGACCGAGCAACGCCGCGUGAGUGAAGAAGGUUUUCGGAUCGUAAAGCUCUGUUGUAAGAGAAGAACGGGUGUGAGAGUGGAAAGUUCACACUGUGACGGUAUCUUACCAGAAAGGGACGGCUAACUACGUG
rnacentral:rRNA from 1 species